rnacentral:rRNA from 1 species
CCUACGGGUGGCAGCAGUGAGGAAUAUUGGUCAAUGGACGAGAGUCUGAACCAGCCAAGUAGCGUGAAGGAUGAAUGCCCUAUGGGUUGUAAACUUCUUUUAUAAAGGAAUAAAACGGGGCACGUCUGCCUUUUUGCGUGUACUUUAUGAACAAGGAUCGGCUAACUCCGUGCCAGCAGCCUCGGUAAUACGGAGGAUUCGAGCGUUAUCCGGAUUUAUUGGGUUUAAAGGGAGCGUAGAUGGGUUGUUAAGUCAGUUGUGAAAGUUUGCGGCUCAACCGUAAGAUUGCAAUUGAUACUGUCAUUCUUGAGUACAGUUGAGGUAAGCGGAAUUCGUGGUGUAGCGGUGAAAUGCGUAGAUAUCACGAAGAACCCCGAUGGCGAAGGCAGCUUACUAAACUGUGACUGACAUUGAUGCGCGAAAGUGUGGGUAGCAAACAGGAUUAGAUACCCGGGUAGUC